rnacentral:miRNA from 1 species
AGCACCUGCUGUGUCCCCCACAGC